rnacentral:rRNA from 1 species
UACAGAGGGUGCAAGCGUUAAUCGGAAUUACUGGGCGUAAAGCGUGCGUAGACGGUUGCGUAAGUCAGAUGUGAAAGCCCCGGGCUCCAACCUGGGAAUUGCAUUUGAGACUGCGUAGCUAGGGUGCGGAAGAGGGAAGCGGAAUUUCCGGUGUAGCGGUGAAAUGCGUAGAUAUCGGAAGGAACACCAGUGGCGAAAGCGGCUUCCUGGUCCAGCACCGACGUCAGGCACGAAAGCGUGGGGAGCAAACAGG